rnacentral:rRNA from 1 species
AGCGGAGGAAAAGAAAAUAACAAUGAUUCCCUCAGUAACGGCGAGCGAAGAGGGAUAAGCUCAANUUUUAANUCUGUUGGGUUCCACUUAACAGAGUUGUAUUUUGAAGAAACGUUUUCUGCAUCCAGGAUUAGCCUAAAUCCUUUGGGAUAAGGUAUCAUGGAGGGUGAGAAUCCCGUUCAUGGUUAAUCUUAAGGAAGCUCUACGAUACGUUUUCCAAGAGUCGAGUUGUUUGGGAUUGCAGCUCAAAAUGGGAGGUAAAUUUCUCCUAAGGCUAAAUAUUGGCGAGAGACCGAUAGCGAACAAGUACCGUGAGGGAAAGAUGAAAAGAACUUUGAAAAGAGAGUUAAACAGUACGUGAAAUUGUUGAAAGGGAAACGAUUGAAGUCAGUCAUACCAACGGGAAAUCAACCUUUUGAGCUYGGUCUCGUGGGUUUUGAAGAGUUUCAAAGCCUUCGGAUUCGCGGGAUUGGGAUCUCUUGGUGUACUUUUUCGUACGGUUAGUCAACAUCGGUUUUGAAUGUCAUAAAAUGACUGGAGGAAUGUAGCUUCGAUCUCGUAUUGAAGUGUUAUAGCCUUUGGUAGAUGUGAUGUUUGAGACCGAGGAUUGCAACGGAUACCCUUCAGGGCUAUUCGUCUGAUCUCUGAUACGUUGCCUUGAUGUUGAAAGCUUGCUUAUGAUGUUAGGGUAUUACGGUCAAAAGGUUAGAACGGAUUACAUUCGUUAAGGAUGUUGACGUAAUGACUUUAAACGACCCGUCUUG